UACGAGGGGGGCAAAUGUUGUUCGGAAUCACUGGGCGUAAAGGGAGCGUAGGCGGGUUUCUAAGUCAGGUGUUUAAUCCCGGGGCCCAACCCCGGACAGGCACUUGAAACUGGGAAUCUUGAAUAGUGGAGAGGUCAGUGGAAUUGGGGGUGUAGCGGUGGAAUGCGUAGAGAUCCCCAAGAACACCAGUUGCGAAGGCGGCUGACUGGACACAUAUUGACGCUAAGGCUCGAAAGCAUGGGGAGCAAACAGG
rnacentral:rRNA from 1 species